GCGCAAUUACCCACUCCCGGCACGGGGAGGUAGUGACGAAAAAUAACGAUACGGGACUCAUCCGAGGCCCCGUAAUCGGAAUGAGUAUACUCUAAAUCCUUAUACGAGUAUCAAUUGGAGGGCAAGUCUGGUGCCAGCAGCCGCGGUAAUUCCAGCUCCAAUAGCGUAUAUUAAAGUUGUUGCGGUUAAAAAGCUCGUAGUUGGAUCUGUGUUCCGCUGCGUCGGUACACCGCCUGUCGGUGUUUAACUGUCGUGUAUGCGGGACGUCCUGCCGGUGGUGGUCCGGUCCCGCGGCAGCGACGUAGGGUUCGGCCAGCGGUUCGCCGUUGCGUCGUCCUUAAGUCCUCCGUGGGGUGCCGGCCGCCUUUUCAAUCCCGUCGCGGUGCUCUUCACUGAGUGUCGAGGCGGGCCGGCACGUUUACUUUGAACAAAUUAGAGUGCUUUAAGCAGGCCCUGUCCGCCUGUAUGUUGUGUGCAUGGAAUAAUGGAAUAGGACCUCGGUUCUAUUUUGUUGGUUUUCGGAACCUGAGGUAAUGAUCAAUGGGGACAGGCGGGGGCAUUCGUAUUGCGACGUUAGAGGUGAAAUUCUUGGAUCGUCGCAAGACGGACCGAAGCGAAAGCAUUUGCCAAGUAUGUUCUCGUCGAUCAAGAACGAAAGUUAGAGGUUCGAAGGCGAUCAGAUACCGCCCUAGUUCUAACCAUAAACUAUGCCUGCCAGCGAUCCGCCGAAGUCCAUUAUAUGACUCGGCGGGCAGCUUCCGGGAAACCAGAGCUUUUGGGUUCCGGGGGAAGUAUGGUUGCAAAGCUGAAACUUAAAGGAAUUGACGGAAGGGCACCACCAGGAGUGGAGCCUGCGGCUUAAUUUGACUCAACACGGGAAAACUCACCAGGCCCGGACACCGGAAGGAUUGACAGAUUGAGAGCUCUUUCUUGAUUCGGUGGGUGGUGGUGCAUGGCCGUUCUUAGUUGGUGGAGCGAUUUGUCUGGUUAAUUCCGAUAACGAACGAGACUCUAGCCUACUAACUAGGCGUACCCGGUAUCCACAAUUGUGCUACCGGCGGUCAAAUUUCUUCUUAGAGGGACAGGCGGCGUCUAGCCGCACGAGACUGAGCAAUAACAGGUCUGUGAUGCCCUUAGAUGUCCUGGGCCGCACGCGCGCUACACUGAAGGAAUCAGCGUGUCAUCCUUGUCCGAAAGGACCGGGUAACCCGCUGAACCUCCUUUGUGCUAGGGAUUGGGGCUUGCAAUUGUUCCCCAUGAACGAGGAAUUCCCAGUAAGCGCGAGUCAUAAGCUCGCGUUGAUUACGUCCCUGCCCUUUGUACACACCGCCCGUCG
rnacentral:rRNA from 1 species